rnacentral:tRNA from 1 species
GCUCGUUGGUCUAGGGGUAUGAUUCUCGUCUUUGGUGCGAGAGGUCCCAGGUUCCACUCCUGGACGAAGCC